UUGGAGACACGAUGAAUGACCCAGGUUC
rnacentral:piRNA from 1 species